rnacentral:ncRNA from 1 species
AUAAAAAGGGGAGCUCGGAAGGGCUGAGAGUAGCGAAAGCUUUACCCAUAACCUGAUUUGGAUAACGCCAACGUAGGGAAAUCU